UACGUAGGGUGCAAGCGUUGUCCGGAAUUAUUGGGCGUAAAGAGCUCGUAGGCGGCUUGUCACGUCGACUGUGAAAAUCCGGGGCUCAACCCCGGACUUGCGGUGGGUACGGGCAGACUAGAGUGUGGUAGGGGAGACUGGAAUUCUUGGUGUAGCGGUGAAAUGCGCAGAUAUCAGGAGGAACACCGAUGGCGAAGGCAGGUCUCUGGGCCACUACUGACGCUGAGAAGCGAAAGCGUGGGGAGCGAACAGG
rnacentral:rRNA from 1 species